AGAGCUCAGCCUGUAGCCCUGCAUCUCAGCUGAAGCUCCUCCUGAUCUUCCAACUCCCAGGAAGAGAUGGAAGGUGACCUGGCUCGUUGGACUCCCAGGAGGGGAGAGAAAUAGGAAUGAUUAUAUGCGGAGCCACAAACGCGGUGAUCGGUGUUGGCCUGAGGCUGUAGAGGAAAUAAAAAGAAAAAGAGAGAGGAAG